rnacentral:rRNA from 1 species
AUAGUUGUUUAACAAAUCUAUUCGCCAGAGUACUAUUAGCCACAGCUUAAAACUCAAAGGACUUGGCGGUGCUUUAUAUCCAUCUAGAGGAGCCUGUUCUAUAAUCGAUAAACCCCGAUAAACCUCACCAACCCUCGCUAAUCCAGUCUAUAUACCGCCAUCUUCAGCAAACCCUAAAAAGGAACAAAAGUAAGCUCAACCAUUAUACAUAAAAACGUUAGGUCAAGGUGUAACCUAUGGGAUGGGAAGCAAUGGGCUACAUUUUCUACAUAAUAAGAACACACGAAAAUUCUCAUGAAAUUGAUAAUUAAAGGAGGAUUUAGUAGUAAGCUAAGAAUAGAGUGC